CGUAGGGUGCGAGCGUUAUCCGGAAUUAUUGGGCGUAAAGAGCUCGUAGGCGGUUUGUCACGUCUGCUGUGAAAACUGGAGGCUCAACCUUCAGCCUGCAGUGGGUACGGGCAGACUAGAGUGCGGUAGGGGAGAUUGGAAUUCCUGGUGUAGCGGUGGAAUGCGCAGAUAUCAGGAGGAACACCGAUGGCGAAGGCAGAUCUCUGGGCCGUUACUGACGCUGAGGAGCGAAAGCGUGGGGAGCGAACAGGAUU
rnacentral:rRNA from 1 species